rnacentral:rRNA from 1 species
CUAUACAUGCAAGUAGAACGCUGAAGAGAGGAGCUUGCUCUUCUUGGAUGAGUUGCGAACGGGUGAGUAACGCGUAGGUAACCUGCCUUGUAGCGGGGGAUAACUAUUGGAAACGAUAGCUAAUACCGCAUAACAAUGGAUGACACAUGUCAUUUAUUUGAAAGGGGCAAUUGCUCCACUACAAGAUGGACCUGCGUUGUAUUAGCUAGUAGGUGAGGUAAUGGCUCACCUAGGCGACGAUACAUAGCCGACCUGAGAGGGUGAUCGGCCACACUGGGACUGAGACACGGCCCAGACUCCUACGGGAGGCAGCAGUAGGGAAUCUUCGGCAAUGGGGGCAACCCUGACCGAGCAACGCCGCGUGAGUGAAGAAGGUUUUCGGAUCGUAAAGCUCUGUUGUAAGUCAAGAACGGGUGUGAGAGUGGAAAGUUCACACUGUGACGGUAGCUUACCAGAAAGGGACGGCUAACUACGUGCCAGCAGCCGCGGUAAUACGUAGGUCCCGAGCGUUGUCCGGAUUUAUUGGGCGUAAAGCGAGCGCAGGCGGUUU